rnacentral:lncRNA from 1 species
CUCCAAUUAAAAAGAAAAAAGAAAAAGGAAGUGUUUUUAUUUAUAUUCAUGGAGUUUACCGAACCCCCUGGAUUUAGAAAAUUACAGCUGUGUCGUCAGAAAGAAAACGAUGAGGACACACAUAUGCUGAUAUCUCCAGAAAGCCCAGAAGAACAGUCUCCUGGACAUCGGCCUCCCACUGGCUCGCCAAGCGUGUCUGCCAAACUUCGUUUCACCCCUAAGAUGAAGCUGAAACGCCUGCAGAAAUCUGCCACAGAGGACCUCUCAGACCGUUCGACGUGUGCAGCCAUGUCUCUGGAACACGUUGGAAAGGUCACCACACCUUAUGGCUUCCGGACCUUGGCUGCCAGCCCCAGCGUCAGCCGGAGAGAGUCCUUAUUCCAUAAGCAGGGACGAUGCACAGAAAGGAGAGUGCCGUUGGAUUCUGUGGCUUCACCAACAUCUUCAAAUUCAACAUCCAAUUCCACAAGCAACAGAAACGGCUCUGCUAGAAAGCUGCAGGAUGGCCAAAAAGACUGUUGCACCCCUCGGAAAUCUAAGAGAGAAGGCCUGGAGCUGCUCCUGAACAAACCAUUGACUGUCUUGAGGAGUCUUACUCCCAAAAGAAAGAACCCUAAACUAAAACUUAAGCUAUAGAAAGAGUUGUAAGUGAUAUCAGCAUUAGUACAGCCUUGUGCUUUUUGACAAGGAAAACACAUUUUAAGUGUCAAAAAUAAAAGUAUUUUAAUUCCAGUCUGUGCACACAUUAAGUUUUUUUUUUUUUUUAACUUGCCAAGAUGCACUCUCUUGCAGGGUUGCCAAGUCUGUGAUUAACUUGCCAUGGCCUGAUUUAGUGAUUUAUACUUUCAAAAUGCUGUUGCGUGUUUUUUUUUUUCUUAAAGAUUUGACAUUAAUAUUUGUAUUUGACUGAAAUGCUGCAGUAUUUCAUUCUACCACCCAUAAAACUUUGCUAGAUGUUUUUUUUUUGUGAGAGAAGCAACACAGUUUAUCUCUUAGUUUCACAGACAAGGCUAAAGCCUAGUCUCAGACUAAAACGCAUGUCUGGGCUGUUUUAACUGAAAAACUUGCACUGAUAUGUCUUAAAAUGUCAGUGUUAUUAAUUUGUCUCAAGACACACACAGGUAAUGUUUUUUUUCUAAAGUAUGUUUAUAAGAGAUACUGGUUUUAAUUGAACUGUGGCCUAAUCCUGGCUUAACUUAAGCCCUGUCUAUGAAACCAGGUUUAUGAUUACUGCAAGACUCAACAACAAAAAAAAAAUCCUUCAACUCCUUUUAAUUCCAGCAAAUUUCGUUACAUGUAAUAUUUGCAUGAACAAAAUUCAACAAAUGUGAGCUGUUAUUCCACUCUUCCAAGGCACUAGCAAGUUCCUGGACACGUCUGAGGAGGCACAUAGUUACACAUGGUUUGCCACUGCAAAGCCGAUCGGCUGUCCUCCCUGUAGCACCGUCUUAGGCUCCUUAUAUUUCAGACAUUGCUCUGGCCACAUCUGCAGUCCUCAUGCCUAUCU